CAGGCUUAACACAUGCAAGUCGAGGGGCAGCAUGGUCUUAGCUUGCUAAGGCCGAUGGCGACCGGCGCACGGGUGAGUAACACGUAUCCAACCUGCCGUCUACUCUUGGACAGCCUUCUGAAAGGAAGAUUAAUACAAGAUGGCAUCAUGAGUCCGCAUGUUCACAUGAUUAAAGGUAUUCCGGUAGACGAUGGGGAUGCGUUCCAUUAGAUAGUAGGCGGGGUAACGGCCCACCUAGUCUUCGAUGGAUAGGGGUUCUGAGAGGAAGGUCCCCCACAUUGGAACUGAGACACGGUCCAAACUCCUACGGGAGGCAGCAGUGAGGAAUAUUGGUCAAUGGGCGAGAGCCUGAACCAGCCAAGUAGCGUGAAGGAUGACUGCCCUAUGGGUUGUAAACUUCUUUUAUAAAGGAAUAAAGUCGGGUAUGGAUACCCGUUUGCAUGUACUUUAUGAAUAAGGAUCGGCUAACUCCGUGCCAGCAGCCGCGGUAAUACGGAGGAUCCGAGCGUUAUCCGGAUUUAUUGGGUUUAAAGGGAGCGUAGAUGGAUGUUUAAGUCAGUUGUGAAAGUUUGCGGCUCAACCGUAAAAUUGCAGUUGAUACUGGAUAUCUUGAGUGCAGUUGAGGCAGGCGGAAUUCGUGGUGUAGCGGUGAAAUGCUUAGAUAUCACGAAGAACUCCGAUUGCGAAGGCAGCCUGCUAAGCUGCAACUGACAUUUGAGGCUCGAAAGUGUGGGUAUCAAACAGGAUUAGAUACCCUGGUAGUCCACACGGUAAACGAUGAAUACUCGCUGUUUGCGAUAUACAGCAAGCGGCCAAGCGAAAGCGUUAAGUAUUCCACCUGGGGAGUACGCCGGCAACGGUGAAACUCAAAGGAAUUGACGGGGGCCCGCACAAGCGGAGGAACAUGUGGUUUAAUUCGAUGAUACGCGAGGAACCUUACCCGGGCUUAAAUUGCAGAUGAAUUACGGUGAAAGCCGUAAGCCGCAAGGCAUCUGUGAAGGUGCUGCAUGGUUGUCGUCAGCUCGUGCCGUGAGGUGUCGGCUUAAGUGCCAUAACGAGCGCAACCCUUGUUGUCAGUUACUAACAGGUUCCGCUGAGGACUCUGACAAGACUGCCAUCGUAAGAUGUGAGGAAGGUGGGGAUGACGUCAAAUCAGCACGGCCCUUACGUCCGGGGCUACACACGUGUUACAAUGGGGGGUACAGAGGGCCGCUACCACGCGAGUGGAUGCCAAUCCCCAAAACCUCUCUCAGUUCGGACUGGAGUCUGCAACCCGACUCCACGAAGCUGGAUUCGCUAGUAAUCGCGCAUCAGCCACGGCGCGGUGAAUACGUUCCCGGGCCUUGUACACACCGCCCGUCAAGCCAUGGGAGCCGGGGGUACCUGAAGUGCGUAACCGCGAGGAGCGCCCUAGGGUAAAACUGGUGACUGGGGCUAAGU
rnacentral:rRNA from 1 species